GUACGUAGGCAGCAAGCGUUGUUCGGAGUUACUGGGCGUAAAGGGUGCGUAGGCGGUCCUAUAAGUAUGGUGUGAAAUCUCCCGGCUUAACUGGGAGGGUGCGCUAUAGACUGUGGGACUAGAGUGUGGGAGAGGAAAGUGGAAUUCCUGGUGUAGCGGUGAAAUGCGUAGAUAUCAGGAGGAACACCUGUGGCGAAAGCGGCUCACUGGACCACAACUGACGCUGAUGCGCGAAAGCUAGGGGAGCAAACAGG
rnacentral:rRNA from 1 species